AUACGUAGGGUGCGAGCGUUGUCCGGUAUUACUGGGCGUAAAGAGCUCGUAGGUGGUUUGUCGCGUCGUCUGUGAAAUUCCGGGGCUUAACUCCGGGCGUGCAGGCGAUACGGGCAUAACUUGAGUACUGUAGGGGAGACUGGAAUUCCUGGUGUAGCGGUGAAAUGCGCAGAUAUCAGGAGGAACACCGGUGGCGAAGGCGGGUCUCUGGGCAGUAACUGACGCUGAGGAGCGAAAGCAUGGGUAGCGAACAGGAUUAGAUACCCUGGUAGUCCAUGCCGUAAACGGUGGGCGCUAGGUGUAGGGGUCUUCCACGACUUCUGUGCCGUAGCUAACGCAUUAAGCGCCCCGCCUGGGGAGUACGGCCGCAAGGCUAAAACUUAAAGGAAUCGACGGGG
rnacentral:rRNA from 1 species